GGCUGGGGUGGACAGCAGCUUCCCCCAAGAGCACAGGCCCCAGGGAAGGAAAAAAACCAACCAACCGGGGUCCACCCAGGCCAGGACCUCCCGAGGCCCAGGCCGAAACCCCAGCUUACAGAGAACUGGGGCCCGGCGGGGCGGACGGCUUCCUGCAGGCGUGCUGGGCCUCUGGGCCUCUGGGCCUCACCAAACCCCCAGGCCCCAGCCCACAGCUGUGCCCACAGACUUGAGGGAAAGCCCGGCCUCGUGGCUGCUUCUCGGAAGAGGCCCACGCAUGCUGACCGGCCCACAGCAGGGCUUCCGGGCCGCUCCCUCCCUCGGCCCGCCUUCCUGGAUCCCGCUCUGGGCCUGCCUGCGCCGCCAUUUCCUGUCCCGGGCCUGGAGGCUCAUUCCUACUCCUCCCAGUCUGCAAAUGGCCGGCACCCAGAACCUUCUGUCGGCACUAGGAGACGGCAGCGAGCCUGGCCAGGGCCCGGCGUGCACCUGCAGGGAGGCGUGCACCUGCGUGGCCUGUCCACCCGCUCCUACUCUAGCCUGGGGGCACCCUGGGGAUCACUCAAGGUUUCCAGGGCCCGCGUGGCAGCUGUGACAAGGGCCAGCUCCACUCACACACCAGCCUGCGUCCCUGGUACCCUGUGCUACCUGGGCACCUGGGCUGGCCAAUGUACGCAUUUCCUGCACACACACUCACACCGUGCCCAUCCACGUGGCCAGGUGUGCCCUACGGCACCACUCGCGUCAACGCUACGGCUGGGUGGACCUUGGGGAGCCCCUUGGCCUCUCAGGGUCACUGCCGUCCCUUGUGGAAAGGAGGGUGACCGGCCGGCGCCGCGGCUCACUAGGCUAAUCCUCUGCCUAGCGGCGCCGGCACACCGGGUUCUAGUCCCGGUUGGGGCGCCGGAUUCUGUCCCGGUUGCCCCUCUUCCAGGCCAGCUCUCUGCUGUGGCCCGGGAGUGCAGUGGAGGAUGGCCCAGGUGCUUGGGCCCUGCACCCCAUGGGAGACCAGGAAAAGCACUGGCUCCUGGCUCCUGCCAUCGGAUCAGCGCGGUGCGCCGGCCGCAGCGCGCUGGCGGCGGCGGCCAUUGGAGGGUGAACCAACAGCAAAGGAAGAUUUUUCUCUCUGUCUCUCUCUCUCACUGUCCACUCUGCCUGUCAAAAAAAAAAAGAAAGGAGGGUGACCCUCACCCUGUAGGUGUGCUGGGUGCUGGGGAAGGCACUUCAUGGAUUGGGCGCCAGGAACCCAGCUUCCCAGUGUUUGCACGUGGUCCCCAUUCGCAGAGAGAGGGGCAGUGCCUGCCCUCGCUCGGCACAGCCAGGAGAGCGCCCGCUGCUCCAGGUAGCCGCCCACGGCAUUGGGCAGAGGCUCUCGCUGCGAUCACAGUGCCCAGCACCUGGCACCCAGGCCCAUGGUGGGGCUCCCAGGCCAAAGCCAGCAGCGCGGAGCGGUUACGCUUGGCCACAGAAGAGCUACUCACAAGCCCAGUGCCGACCGCCGGGAGAAUGUCCCCAGCAUCCCCGCGGCUCGCGGACACCUCGGCCACCAGGUGCUCGCUCUCAAGGACGCCACCGCGAGCUUUGCCGGCAACACAGGGUGCGGGGCUCCCGCUCGCAGGCGUUGCCAGCCACGGCGGCAACCUCUGUGGCUGGAAGCGGCAGCGCCGGGAUCCAGAACUGAGCACGAGACGCACACGCUGCAAACAUCAGGUGCGGGGCUGGUGA
rnacentral:lncRNA from 1 species